rnacentral:antisense_RNA from 1 species
GCUCCCGCGAGGUCAGAGCCGGGCUGUGCCGCUGCCCCCGGGACUAGAAAGGGAAAUCUCCUUGCUAGAGGAGGAAGCCCUAAGAACUCAAGGGAGAUAGGGGUGGCAGGGGCAUUUCCCUGGAUGCCUGGAGCAUGGAGGGUGCGAAAUAAGGAGGCUUUCCUUCCCCAUUGAUGAGCUGAAGUUGAUUCCGCACGGGGAAGGAAAGGGACAGGAAGCAUAAUUGGAUGUGCAAGCCUGUGGUUCUUCAGGAAGUUAACACGUGGAACUAACACUGUUGGAUGCUGCUGAACUCUCAGGUGAUUGAUGUGACUAACCUCCUCUGAGAAAAAUCAUCAUUGACAUCCAACACCAGCACUGGAAUGUUCAUCAGAGCCUCAAAGUGGAGCCUAUAAGAAGCGUGAACGUUUGGGGGACAGAAAAAAAGAAAAGUAACUUGAGUCAAGUUUCACAUACUCGCCAAGUCUUACUCAGAGAACAGAUCUAAACUCAACAUGACUUUUCAAAGAAACUGCAUGUAAACUGCAUUUAAAAAAACAAAUUAAUUCAAUAAAGUUGGCUGGAAACAG